rnacentral:rRNA from 1 species
CAGUAGCCGCGGUAAGACAGAGGUCCCGAGCGUUGUUCGGAUACAUUGGGCGUAAAGGGUGUGUAGGAGGCCAGGUAAGUCAGGUGUGAAAUCUCAGAGCUUAACUCUGAAACUGCGCUUGAUACUGCUUGGCUAGAGGAUCGGAGGGGGUAACGGAAUUUGUGGUGUAGCAGUGAAAUGCGUAGAUAUCAUAAGGAACACCGGUGGCGAAGGCGGUUACCUGGAAGAUUCCUGACUCUGAAACACGAAAGCCAGGGGAGCGAAUGGAAUUAGAUACCCGCGUAGUCCCUGUCUCUUAUAA